rnacentral:misc_RNA from 1 species
UCCGAGUUGACCCCGGCAGUCUCCUGUGAGUCCCCAUCACCCCGAAGGGCAUGCUGGCAACACAGAACAAGGGUUGCGCUCGUUGCGGGACUUAACCCAACACCUCACGGCACGAGCUGACGACAGCCGUGCAGCACCUGUGCACGCUCCCUUGCGGGUCCUCGGUGUCUCCGCCUCGUACCACGUGCAUGUCAAGCCUGGGUAAGGUUCUUCGCGUUGCAUCGAAUUAAACCACAUGCUCCACCGCUUGUGCGGGCCCCCGUCAAUUCCUUUGAGUUUUAGCCUUGCGGCCGUACUCCCCAGGCGGGGCGCUUAAUGCGUUAGCUUCGGCACGGACGGAGUCGACACCGCCCACACCUAGCGCCCAUCGUUUACGGCGUGGACUAC